AUCAACAAACAAUAUUUUGGUGUCCAUAAUAACAAAUCCAUUUAAAUAUAUCCAUUCGAAAACCUUUUUACUGAUUUAUAUCCAUUCUAUAUAGCAUGUCCAUGAUAAUAGGAGAUUCGAUUAACUGGAAUCUCGAUGCUACGUAGAUGAAACGAGUUUGAUACAUGAGAGAGAGCAAAAAUCAAAUCAAGCCGCCAAUGUUGAAGAAGAAGAAGUUUCUUAGAAAACUGAAUCUCAAAUUUAUGUCAAAACAAAGAUUUAAAUUGCAAAAUAAAUCACAAUCUACAAUCAGUGAAAACGAAUAAAAUAUCGAACUCUCCAAUCAAUCCAUAAUCUCACAACAAUCCGAGUAAUUAUACAAUAUAGAAAUCUCAAAUUCUGCAAAAUUUGAAUACCCAAUCCUUUAACUGAAAGAAGAACUCUAUAGCAUCUAAAAUACUAAAAUAAAGAAAUGAGUGAGUGGAUCCAACAAAUAAUUAUAAGGAGAUCGGCUAUUUUGAACAUCCAACAAAUAACUUUUUUUGAGAACUGUCUAUUUUGAACAAUUCCAUUGAAGGAGACGCAACUAAAGUUGUUUACAAAGAUGAAGAGAGAGAGAAAGAGAGAGAGAAAGAGAGAGAGAGAGAGAGAGAGAGAGA
rnacentral:sRNA from 1 species